AGCUCCAAUAGCGUAUAUUAAAGUUGUUGCAGUUAAAAGCUCGUAGUCGGAUUUUGGCAUCACGCCGAACUGUCAGCCGAUUGGUUUGUACGGUUUGGCGGGUGCUCUCCUUCCGGAAGCUCGUUCCCUUCUUAGUUGACGGGUUCGAUGGUUCCGGGUCUUUUACUUUGAAAAAUUAGAGUGUUCAAAGCAGGCCUAUGCUCUGAAUAGGUUAGCAUGGAAUAAUAGAAUAGGACUUUGGUUCUAUUUUGUUGGUUUCUAGGACCGAAGUAAUGAUUAAUAGGGACAGUUGGGGGCAUUCAUAUUCCAAUGUCAGAGGUGAAAUUCUUGGAUUAUCGGAAGAUGAACUUCUGCGAAAGCAUCUGCCAAGGAUGUUUUCA
rnacentral:rRNA from 1 species